rnacentral:rRNA from 1 species
AUGGAGCUGCCGUCUCCAGACUGGUCGGAGCUGCCGUCCGACGUCCUCGGGGUCGUAGUGGGAAAGCUCGAAUUCCCGGACGUCUUCCGCUUCUCUGCGGUCUGCACCUCCUGGCAUGCUAGCGGCCGCCGCGUACGUCGCGACGGCUACUACUCGCGCCCCCAGACGCCCUGUCUCCUCUACACCACAGCCUCCGACAGAAGCGGCGCCGCUGAGCUCUACAGCCUCACCGACAGGAAGGCGUACGCGGUGCGGUUGCCCGACCCACCCAUCCAGGACCGCUACAUCAUCGGGUCGUCCCACGGCUGGCUCGUCACCGCCGACGCCCGCUCCGAACUCCACCUCCUCAACCCGGCCACCGGCGAGCAGCUACGGCUCCCGUUCGUCACAACCAUCGAGCAGGUGAGGCCACUCUUGGACGAAGCUGGUAACCUGGACAGGUACGAGCUUUUCCACUACGAUGGCCGUCUCCGGAAGGAGAACUUGGCCACUUCGGUCAUCUAUCCCCUGGAUUCCUUGAUCUAACACUUGAGGCAGUUCUUCUACCUGAAAGCCAUCGUCUCCUCCGACCCUUCGCGUGGGCGUGGGGACUACACGGUGAUGCUGAUGCACCACCCAGAGAACCAGCUCUCGUUUGCAAGAGCCGGCGACAAGCAUUGGACCUGGGUCAAAUUCGACAACAACAUAUGGUUCGCCGACUGCAUCUACCACGCCGGCGUGUUCUACGCGCAGACCUUCACCGGGGCCAUUCACGCCAUCGACGUCGGUCGCGACUCGUUCACCCAUGGACUGAUCCUGAAGAAAUCCAUCCCCAGGUUCUGCAACGUCUACAUAGUGCGCACCCCGGAGGGUGACAUCCUUCAGCUGCUGAGGAUCACAUCAACCGUUGAGAAGCGGGAGCGAACCGCCACGAUUGAAGUUUACAAGGUUAACUUGGAGAAACAGGGUGUCGGGCCCAUCGAUAGCUUGGGGGACAAUGCGGUUUUCAUAGGGACCAGUUACUCGUCCUGCCUACCCGUGAAGGAUUAUCCGCAGCUGAUGCCAAACCACAUAUAUUGCGAUGACGACGAUGAGUACUGGCUUCGUGAAAAAGAUGGCUGCCGAGAUGUUGGAGUGUACGAUUUUGAAGAAGACCAUGUGAACGAUCUAGUAUCUCCACAACCAUGGCUUAAUUGGCCGCCUCCAAUUUGGAUUACUCCAAGUUUUACAAAAAUUGUGAAGGUAGGAUAG